GACGAACGCUGGCGGCGUGCUUAACACAUGCAAGUCGAACGGAAAGGCCCUGCUUUUGUGGGGUGCUCGAGUGGCGAACGGGUGAGUAACACGUGAGUAACCUGCCCUUGACUUUGGGAUAACUUCAGGAAACUGGGGCUAAUACCGGAUAGGAGCUCCUGCUGCAUGGUGGGGGUUGGAAAGUUUCGGCGGUUGGGGAUGGACUCGCGGCUUAUCAGCUUGUUGGUGGGGUAGUGGCUUACCAAGGCUUUGACGGGUAGCCGGCCUGAGAGGGUGACCGGCCCCAUUUGGCCUGGACUUCGGCCCCGACCUCCUCCGGACGCCAGCGUGGGGUAUUUUGUACCAUUGGCCGGAGCCUUGUUCCGCCAAGCCCCGUUGCGGAUGACGGCCUUCGGGUUGUAAACCGCUUUCGCCUGUGACGAAGCGUGAGUGACGGUAAUGGGUAAAGAAGCACCGGCUAACUACGUG
rnacentral:rRNA from 1 species